rnacentral:rRNA from 1 species
GACAGAGGGUGCAAACGUUGUUCGGAAUUACUGGGCGUAAAGCGCGUGUAGGCGGCUUCGCAAGUCGGAUGUGAAAUCCCACGGCUCAACCGUGGAAGUGCAUUCGAAACUGCAAGGCUAGAGUUCUGGAGAGGAAGGUGGAAUGCUUGGUGUAGAGGUGAAAUUCGUAGAUAUCAAGCGGAACACCGGUGGCGAAGGCGGCCUUCUGGACGAGAACUGACGCUGAGACGCAAAGCGUGGGGAGCAAAC